AUUGAACGCUGGCGGCAGGCUUAACACAUGCAAGUCGAACGGUAACAGGAAUUAGCUUGCUAAUUUGCUGACGAGUGGCGGACGGGUGAGUAAUGCUUGGGAAUCUGGCUUAUGGAGGGGGAUAACUACGGGAAACCGUAGCUAAUACCGCGUAAAAUCUUCGGAUUAAAGGGUGGGACUUUCGAGCCACCUGCCAUAAGAUGAGCCCAAGUGGGAUUAGGUAGUUGGUUAGGUAAAGGCUGACCAAGCCGACGAUCUCUAGCUGGUCUGAGAGGAUGACCAGCCACACUGGAACUGAGACACGGUCCAGACUCCUACGGGAGGCAGCAGUGGGGAAUAUUGCACAAUGGGGGGAACCCUGAUGCAGCCAUGCCGCGUGAAUGAAGAAGGCCUUCGGGUUGUAAAGUUCUUUCGGUGACGAGGAAGGUUGAUAGGUUAAUAGCCUAUCAAAUUGACGUUAAUCACAGAAGAAGCACCGGCUAACUCCGUG
rnacentral:rRNA from 1 species